CAUUACAGUUUAUCUCGCUAGUCGUCUAUAGCUAGCCAGCCUCUCUCUAGUCCUCAACCCAUCCCAAAUCUUCUUUGGUUCCUCCCGGCGAGAGUUCCAGCCUAGCCCUCUGGCGGCCGCCGCUAGGGCCAGGGCCUGAUGGCUACGGUGUGCGCUGGACCCUGCGGCGCGUUGGAGCAUGGUGGCCGACAGCCGACAGAAAGAGUGAUCGAUACCUCCCCGUUAUUUACCUUUGAUCUUCCGUUUCCCGAUCUGGUUCUUCAUCCUUUUGUGUUUUUGUUGGAUGAAUCUAGUCAUUGGGUGCUGUUGCUCGCAGGCUGCGGCCAUGGAAGAUCCUGGAGGAAGAUUGACGCCAGCGGAUGCCGAUCUUGUACAGAGCAAUCGAGGAUCCCGUCCCACAGCGCUGACCUGACGGCCUACCCUGUCAGUAGCCUCGCUCAUGCGGGCGUUACAGUUCGUCUCGCCCGUCUAUACCAUGGGAUCGGAGGCCAGGACGCCAUUUCCAAAUUUCCAAGCAUGGUGGCUGGAGCGUGAUGUAGGCGUUCCAGGUUUCACGUCACUUCUUCAUAGACCUGGUAGACGGGGAGUAGGAGGAGCAGGAGAUGUGGGUUUCGCAGUGGUGAUGGCUGCAGCCAUGGGACGUUAGGAUGAUCUCGGUGGGAGAUUGACGCUAGCGCGGAUGCCGAUCUUCUCUUGAGCCCCAUGAGGUUUGCCUUAAACUGUUGGGUCUAGUGCACAUUCUAUGGUCAGAGCUGCCGCCUUUUAGCAGGUGGAACUGAAACUUGUACCCAAGUUUCCAUGUCCAUGACAGCACCAUACCGUAGUAAACUUUUCUUUUUGAUAGCAAGAUAGGAGGAAUCUGAAGUCGUACUUGAAGCUUGGCGACAAGAGCUAACAUGCUUUGGAUAACUAAUAUCAUAAUAUAGUACAUGGAAUGAUUCUGCAAUAUUCUUGGUAGGUGGCAUAGGUACUAGCAAGGCCAAAAUGAAGGCAGUUGCCAUUAGCAGAGAGACAAGCGUUGUCAUGUUCUCUUACAUAGGCACUCAAUGAAGCUUAAUCUUAAUUAUCAACAUACGGGCAGUGUUGCUCGAUCAUGUGGGCCUAGCUUGUCAUGCCUUAUCUUCCACACUUCUACGUCGGUGCAUGGCAUAAGGGGAUAUGAAUGGCCAUAUGUUCAUCUGUGUGGGGGAAAAUCCUCAUAGGGCUGAAAAUUUUAACAUCUCUCUGUGGACCCAGGAGAAUUCCAUGGGGCCUACCCUUGCCUCCAACUGCUCCCAUAGCCUACUUUGUUGGUGUGUGAUCACUGUCGCUUGCGCUACUCCAAGAGUUGCGAUGUCCCGCUGUAUAGGACAGGAAUACCAUGGCAUGUGAGCUAAUAGCUGGUAAGUCUUGGUGGUAUCUAGUCAUUUCCAGCGGAUGGAGUCUAGCUAGUGACCCUAGAUGGGGCAUACCAAAAUCCCAAUAUAAUUAUCGAGCGGUACCUAGUUUCCGAGCGGGUCGGGUCAAACUGGUGUCUCUCAAGGGUAAUAUUCUGAGGAUUCAUUUCAGAACCAGAACACAAGUUGUGAUGCUUCAGUCAUGAGUUGUUCGGUAGCCGACUGGUGUCUUGCUGGAGGCGGAAAUUAGCUUCCCGUCACAUGCACUAUUCGAGUGGUCCUAGACCCCUUGAGGUCAACUAUCGGAACCCUCAAUCGGCAAUACUUGGGUCUCGAGUGCCCAAUUCUCGAAUGGUUGUCUAUUGGAGGCGUAUUGUAUUUGCAUUGAUUUUGGUGCGUAGUCGCGAAUGUCGCACCCAUGAAGGUCAACCAUUGAAACCCCAAUUCAAACAAGCACAAGGGCGGGAAUGGUCAUGAGGUCCACGCAGUCUUCGGGCAAACUAUUGUGAGGAAGCAGUCAUUGAACGAUCUCCAUGUCUUCAAUUGAGCAAGCAUUAAGGUGGAAUGACGUGUCAUUAAAAUCACAAUGGGAUCUAUAGUGGAGGGGCCACAUUACAUCUUUAGUUUUCAGUUUCAAAGGGCCUCAACCCUCAGGAAUGAGGUGCGGCAUGACAUGGGACCACUUGCAGCUUUUUCAUGUUUUCAUGGUGUGUGGCGAAGUGGAUCGCCAUCUUGGUUUCCCCCUCUAUAAAGUAGAGGGGCGGGGGUAAAAGUAAAAGGUAAUUUAGCCAGUUGUCAAUUUUGCUUCCACUCGCCAUGUGCUCUAGGCAACAAGCUUGUGCGACCAACAUACUGACGCUUGGUUUUCUUUCUUUAAUUUGUGCCCGCCCUGCCCCAUAGAGCCCACUCUCAUGUUCCUUCCAUUGAUUCCAAAUCUUCCUAGAUCUGGGCCGCCACUAUCGAAUUCAAUCCUUCCUCAAUGAAGAGGGAGUGCUUGAGGAGAAGUUUGUGGUGCCAUAGUCUUGGCCCAGGAGGAGCUUCAAGCAGUGGCGAUGGUGGCAUCAAUGAAAUCCACUAUGGCAAAGGAGGCGACAGGAGGGCUUAUCCCCAAGGGCAUGCUCCAAUGGUGAGCUACUCUUGGAUGGCUUUCCCCACUCCUGAAUGAAUGUUCCAUUGAUUGCACUCAUAUCUAAAACUCGCGGCUCUAGAUCUAGGACGCCAUAGUCUGGGACAACAAGGAGGAGCUUCAAGUAGUGGCGAUGGCGGAAUGGAUGAAAUCCACUGUGAUAGAGCAGGCAACAGGAGUGCUUCUCCCCAAGGGCAUGCUCCAGUGGUGAGCUACUCCGGGGUGUCUUUCCCCACCCCCGACACGGAUGAGGUUAUUGUCCACACACCCAUCUUGAAUCUUCAACAAGGGCUGGCACACAGAGUUGUUUUACCGCUCCAAGUUACCACCCUCCCUCUCGUGUGGAGAGCGAGCUGGAAUGAACUUCUGGGGGAUUUGGAAGAGGCUGAAUUUCAAGUCGUUCAGGCACAUCUCUCACAUGUGCUUUAGUAGGGAAACACCAGGGUUGGAAUGAUCUCAACCUUCAUUGAUCGGCGGAUAUAGACCAUUAAGCAAAGGAUUCACCUAAUGUUUGAGCUGACCAGGCUUGAUGAUAUGACUCGAGAGGUAGAAGCCAGAUCCUCAAAGGAUGCUUUGAUACCCUAAGUUAGGAGAUUGUUGAAAGCUGACAUUGUCAUUACCAAUGCACCCCAUCAGGGCCUUUCCAGUCAGUUAUUGUUUUUCUUUUGAUAUGGACAUCAGCAAUUUAAGUAGUCGCCGAGUGGAAAUCUUCACUUGCCCGCACCUUCUGGUUUCGUAGUUUCUGGAGACCUUCAUCUCUAGGCUCCCCUACCCAAAAACAAGGGAAACGGCCAAGGUUCUUAAAUGGUGCAAGCACGCAAGGUGUAGGUGCCUCCGGCAUUGGUGAUAACAUAGGCGACGCGGCUCAGGCGAAGGAGAAGUAGAAACAUGUAGAUGGCUCCCAUGUUCAAAGACGGUGCGACUCCUCUAUUUGUCUUGCCUGGGUUGUACCAACUGUCGCUAAGAUAUAGAAAACUAAUGCACCACUGGGUAGGAUCGGUGCAGCUCUGGUGAAGGGUAAUUCCUCAACAUCACCAACGACGAAGGUUGCCUCCAAGGUGGCGCGGUCUACCAGGUAAGUUGCCAAGUACAGACCUGGGUCUCGUACUCUGUCAUCCAUUGGCAGCACGGAAUGAUACUGGUCUUGUUGUGAUUUUGGUAGUCUAGCAAAGAGGGGGGCUCGUACCGACACAUUGAGUGACGAAUGGUCCAGUCAAGAUGUUGGCAUGCCAGAGCCAAUUGUUAUGCCAUUGUCAUCCCCGAGCCUCUUGAGUUCCUUCUCUACUAUGUACCACUCAGCCACACAAUAGUUUGUCGAGCUCAAAGGGCUAGGAGAGUGUCCUUAAUUCUGAUCAGGGCACCAGUGCAAAGGGGUUGGACAUCAUGCCUCCAUCCAAUCAGAUGGAGAGGUAAGGUACCUAGCCGAUCAAGGAUUGAUGGGAUGAACUAUAGUUACCUCCAUCGCCCAGCAAGUUGGUGGGGCUCUCAUCCGUCUAAUGUCCAACAGGAAGAAGCACCAUUGGCUCUGCCACCGUACCACAAGAUGGAAGUGCACACGUGGGACCCCAUCGCUCACUCAUCAAACAGAAGUGUUGGGAGCAUCCCCCUCCACUAUAGUAGAGUGGACACAAGAUACUGGUGGUAGCUUGCUGGAUUCACCCAUCAUCUUCCCUCGGGGUGAUCAUUUCAGGAUCUUGAAAUGAAUCAAUAUGAUAGGAGCCGAGUCAUGUGGGUGGCGACCAGCGAGGAGGCGAAGCAAUUAGAACUCCAUCGGCUCACUCCCGAUCAUGUUGGAGACCGCGAAGGAGUGCACCAACUUGGUGAAGAGAAAGUUCUAGCCUGUCACGGAGGUAUGCUCUCUUAGCUUGUAUAUUUCACACUUGGGCCGCAGAAGAUCGCGCGGCAAGCUCGAGGAGGAGUUCGAGUCAAUGAGGAUGCACAAUAGGAUCCUUAAGGAAGAGAAGGUUGAGACCGUGAGUGGACUAAAGAAAGCGCAAGAGAUUGCCAAAGGUAAGCCCUUUACUCAUGUCAUGCUUAGCCACGAGUUGCUAUGGGUGUUGAUCAAAGUUUUGAAUAGCUAGCUAUCGCCCCACUAUAGCAGUCUGAGCAGGGCGCACUAAAUAAUCGACUAUUUGCUUCACGCACAAUUGUCCAAUAAAGUUACGAUAUAGCUGAUUUGGAGGACCAUCGCUAUUUGUCAUAGCCCACCUUUUAAAACAAUGGUGUUCAUGGUAUGUGAAUGUACUUUGUAGAGGCCAACCACGUGAUAAAGGUCUUGAAUGCGAUUGUUGAGAUACCUUAUGCUCCCCUCUUGGGGGGGCUAAGUGAAAUUCGUAGAGAUUUUUUGGAUCACCUCUAGCAGGUGCUUAGGCGGGUAAAAGAGCUGAAGGACGUGAACCGGGUAGUUUGCAGUGCCCUCUAGGAGCGCGGAUCAACGCCUGAUUGUGUGGACACGAUCAUAAGCCUCAUGUACUAUGGGCCCAAGUAGGUGAUGAGGUGAAGAAGCUGUAAAGGGUGGCUUUCGAGAAGGUUCCCACGUGGCGCUUAUUGUAGCAAGUCCCACUACCAUGCGAUCCCGCUGAUGGAAAUGGUGAUGGCUUCACUGUUGAGUUCCCCGAGGAGAAUGUCGAGGCCUUGUUGAAGUAGACUAAUUCUGAUGAUGAUUUUAUUGAUGGCAAGUCUAAAUAGGGUAUGACAUAAUGAGUGCUAAGGUUAUUGAUGGUCUUAACCUGAGAUCUAUCAAAACCUUUGUUAAGCGCUGCUAUUGAUAGUCAAACUCAUGUAACAAUGGUUAAAUCUCAAGACCACGGUGUUGUUGAUUAAAUCAAGUGUCUUGGUGUAGAAUACUAACAAGAGGAACCAUGACAGGUAGAACAUCAAGAACAAGUUGUGAUGUCAUUUCUAAAAACAAACCUGAUUUUAUUGGGUUCUGAGAGACAAAGAGGCAAAUCAUUUAUGAUGGUUUCCUGUCUAGUGUAAAAACAAACCUAGCUCUUUUGGAAGAUGAGGAUAGAUGUGUUUAUGACAUUGAGGAGAUGAUGGCAGUGGCCACUAACUAACACCUGACUUUCAUUGGGUAGCCCUUUCUGGUCACAUGAUGAGCUUGUCAGCAAGGAAUAGAAUGAAGCUUUGGAAAAACCCUUCUUUGAGAAAGUAAUCUAGAAAGCUAUCAUUGGCAUAUAUGCACAUGUGGCUCCUAGCCCUUACGACCUAACUUAUGUUUCUAUCAAACCAUUUAGUAUUUGAUUGAGAAUGAUUUCAUGGCUCUUGUUAGAAGUGUUCAAAAUUGCGAAUUUGAUAUGUCUACACUUAUUUUUUCUCUCAUCAUCUUGAUUCCCAAAGAGACCAAUGCUAAGAAUCUUUAGGCCCAUUAGUUUGAUCAAUUGCUCUGUUAAGAUUUUUAAAAAAGAUAUGAUAACAAGGGUUUCCCCUGCGGAAGAAAGCCUUUAUUCCCUAAUCAGAAUGUUUUUAUAGGCAUAUUCAUUUUUACAGAGUGUUGUUAGUGCGCAUGAACUUAUUCAUGAGUUUCAUAGACCUGGAUUUGAAGGUAUAUAUAUUUAACACUAUAUUAUGAGAAAGCCUAUGUUAGUGCCGCUGGGACUUCCUUGUGAAUAUGCUAACCACCAGAGGCUUUGCAAGUAAACGGAUUAGUUGGAUAUACAAUACUAUUGCUCGAAGUUCUUUUUAUGUGAGAUUAAAUGAGGUAAAUGGACAAUACAUUAUGGGUGGAAAAGGCCUUAAGCAGGAGGAUCCUCUCUCCCCCAUUUCAUUCAAACUAGUAGGUGACUUGUUUUCAAAAUACAUGCAAAAGCCAUUAGUUGUGUGAUCAUAUCUUGAUCAUGUCAUCAGCCUCUAGUACACUGAUGGAAACAUCCUAUUCAUUGGUCCCUCCAUUGAUAAUGCAAGAACCCUUAAGGGUUGUUUUCCUUCUUUGAUAUGUUGUCGGACAUGAAAAUCAACUUUAACAAAAGUGACCUAGUUACUAUUAAUAUGGAUGAAGAACAUUAUUCUAAGAUCUUUUCUCGAAUUUUCUACUGCAAGAUGAUUUCCUUUCCUCUUAAGUAUCUUGGGUUUCCCUUGCAUUUUACCAAACGUAGGAGGGAAGAUCUCCAACCUAUUGUAGACAAGGUCAUUACAAAUAUUCCUUCUGUGAAAUAUAAAACACUGAACUAUGAUGGGAAGCUUGUGCUUCUCGGAAUUAUUAUUGCUACCAUUCUAAUGUAUUUAAUGUAAAUUCUAAGUUCCCUAAUGAGUGAAAAAUGUUAUCACUUCUAAGAUGUCUCAUUUCUUUGGGGUAAAUUUGGAGUUUCACAUCAAUACCACGUAGCUAUUUGGGGACGUAUCUCUCAUUGUACGGAUUUUGGUGGGAUGGGGGUACCUAAUCGGAGAGCCCUUAAUUUUGCCUUCUUAUCCUCUUGGCUUGGUGGUGAUAAGAACUACCAAGUCCCUGGUGGAUAGAACCUCCUAAAAUAUUGACCAGUUUAUGAUUUGAGGUGUUUGUCAUGGGGGAAAUGAAACUACACAACACCUCAUUUUUUAUUUGCAUGCUCUUUUGGUCUUGCAUUUAUGAGAGUUUUGAGUGUGAUAGGCCUUAGUGAAUGGUUGGUAUUUCAAAUGUCUGGACUCCUUGGAAAAAAUGAUGUUUGCAGUAUGUUUGAUGUUGCUUCCUUGUGGAGUAUUUGGACCUUACGUAUUGAGAUAUCUUCCCACGGAAACGUAUGGUCAGAUGGCAGGUAUUUCUAGGAAGAAUGAGCAUGUGGCUUCAUGAUUGGGAGAUCAUGUGCGAUAGUACACAACUACCAUGUUGGAUCGUUGAAGAGGCAAGCUCCUUAGAAUCUCAUGGGAAGGAUCCUACCUGUGGUGAAACUGAUGAAUAGUGACAUAUCUUCCUAUGUGCCAUAACCAACUGGUUUGAGGUCACUGAGAAAUGCAUUUGGUGAUGUAGUUUGCACGUUGUGUAUCCUGAUGUCUCUAGUUUUCGUUUCCUUGUGGCUUGUAAGAAAUCCUAUAUGGUUUUCUUAAAUUCCGGUGCAGCUACUUUCCUCUUUUUC